CUGUACUUUCUAGGUUAGGUCAGAAAACUGCGCGUAUGUCAAUUCUUUAGUUGCGUUCCAUCACACCGUAUUUUUGGUUUAUAUGCAAAAUACAACAAAUUAUAUAUUAUCGUAAUUAAUAAGUAAUUUACCUCGUGAAAUUUUAGUGAGUGUUUCGUGAAUAUCUACUUUUCAAGUCAUUCUUGAGAAAAUGAGGGCAAUUCCAAAAGGAUGGUUGAAAUAUCAAGCUAUGGGAGAACAAGUCGCUGGAA